rnacentral:rRNA from 1 species
UACGGGGGGGGCAAGCGUUGUUCGGAAUUACUGGGCGUAAAGGGCUCGUAGGCGGCCAACUAAGUCAGACGUGAAAUCCCUCUGCUUAACCGGGGAACUGCAUCUGAUACUGGAUGGCUUGAGAUUGGGAGAGGGAUGCGGAAUUCCAGGUGUAGCGGUGAAAUGCGUAGAUAUCUGGAGGAACACCGGUGGCGAAGGCGGCAUCCUGGACCAACACUGACGCUGAGGAGCGAAAGCCAGGGGAGCAAACGGG